UACGUAGGGGGCAAGCGUUGUCCGGAAUCAUUGGGCGUAAAGAGCGUGUAGGCGGCCCGAUAAGUCCGCUGUGAAAGUCCAGGGCUCAACCCUGGGAUGCCGGUGGAUACUGUCGGGCUCGAGUCCGGAAGAGGAGUGUGGAAUUCCUGGUGUAGCGGUGAAAUGCGCAGAUAUCUGGAGGAACACCGGUGGCGAAGGCGGCAUCCUGGACCGAUACUGACGCUGAGGAGCGAAAGCCAGGGGAGCAAACGGG
rnacentral:rRNA from 1 species